CAGCAGCCGCGGUAAUACGGAGGAUCCGAGCGUUAUCCGGAUUUAUUGGGUUUAAAGGGAGCGUAGGUGGAUUGUUAAGUCAGUUGUGAAAGUUUGCGGCUCAACCGUAAAAUUGCAGUUGAAACUGGCAGUCUUGAGUACAGUAGAGGUGGGCGGAAUUCGUGGUGUAGCGGUGAAAUGCUUAGAUAUCACGAAGAACACCGAUUGCGAAGGCAGCUUACUGGAGCGCAACUGACGCUGAAGCUCGAAAGUGCGGGUAUCGAACAGGAUUAGAUACCCUGGUAGUCCGCACGGUAAACGAUGGAUGCCCGCUGUUGGUCUGAAUAGGUCAGCGGCCAAGCGAAAGCGUUAAGUAUUCCACCUGGGGAGU
rnacentral:rRNA from 1 species